GCAUAUUCGACAAUAAGGAUCCAACCACACUCCAGCUCCUGCUGUUGCAACACAAGGGAACCGGAAGUAUCCAGUCUGGUGCUGGCUCUUAUGGAGCAGCUGUCCCCCUGCCAUGCUACAGCCAAUAUCCUUAGCAACACCCUGGGUGAUUCAUGAUGGAAGGAUGUGAUAUCUGUUGGUGGCCAGGAUAACUUUUACGUCAAGAUUCCUGUGGGCACUUCUCAUCUGACUGCUACCCCGAUAUGGCUGGCUGGGUCAGACGGCUUCUGCAGAAACCCAGGCAAAACUCCAGCUCCGCAGGAAGCAGCUUGAACACCAAACAGUCACGCUCCUCCUCUUCCUCCUCCUCAGUGACAACUGCUAGCUCUUCCACCAGCAGUUCAGUGGCCAGUCUAGGACAACUGUCUUCUGCCUCCCAGGUGAGCAUCAGCAGCUCAGGGAGUGCCCGCUGGGCCAAGAGCUAUGACGUGUGCAUCUGCCACAGCAAUGGGGACUUUGAGUUUGUCGAGGAGAUGGUCUCCUAUCUGGAGAGCCAGACUGAGCGCAUCCGCUGCUUCCUGCAGCUGCGGGAUGGUAUGCCGGGGAGUGCUAUCACCACAGAGCUCUGCGACGCUGUCCAGAACAGCCACUGCUGGGUCCUGCUAAUAACCCCUAGCUUCCUCGAGGAUCCCUGGUGCAGGUACCAGAUGCAUCAGGCGUUGGCAGAGGCGCCGAUGGCCAAUGGGCGCACCAUCCCCGUGCUGAAGGGCAUUGACCGGAAAGACUACCCCCGGGAGCUGAGGUGCCUCUAUUACAUCGAUGUGACGCGCAAGGAGGAUGGCUUCAGGCAGAUUAAGGACACGAUUCUGUGUUGUAAGUAAACCGUCGGGGGCAGUCGGCUUUAUAAUGGGCCUGUAUAGGGUGUUUGCUCUUCACUCUGCUAAACAAUCUGGAGUGUCCCUUCGAUCAGACCCUGCAUUUCCAUUGCACCUUCUGGGCUUCAGGAGUGACUCUCACUAGCCAAGGGGUGGAACACAGCAGCUGUCUGACGGCCCACACUGAACAACCUUCUGGGAUGGAAAGUUGAGAAUACUGUGUUCCUCUGAAACUGCAAGGAAAGAUCUAAAAAGAAGGGGCUGGGGCCUCUGUAUCCCAUUGGAGUGGGACCUGCAGGAGCUCUGUCGAAGCACCGUGAGCAGAAUAGAGUGAGUGGAGUCCUGCAGGGGAAGGGAGCACCUUGAGAAAGCAGAUCCAGCCGACGGGAAACGGAAUGAGAAUCCACACUGCGGUUUCCAAAGUCUCUGGAGCUGUCUCAUUUGAUCUCAGUGGAGAGCAGAUUCCAGGUGACCUAUGGCCAAGUUCCCCAAUGCACAAAGCACCUGUAGAAUUACAAAUGGGAACCGACUCUCACGAGGGCUUCCGAACGGAAGCAUUUCUCUCGCGUCAGGCUGCUCCACACCAUGAACACUAAUACCAAGCACUGCUGAGAGGACAAGCAAAAUAUCUAACACCAAUGGAGAGUGAGGCUUACAUGUGGCUUCUAGUGCUAAAGAGUUGAAAGAAGCAUGAGCCUUGUUCCACGCUGUACUGUACAGUGCAGGGGACUUGGCUGGAACCCGGAGCUUGAGUGUUGGUGACGCCAAGUAGUCGAGGGUAAACACAGGUAAAUGGAGUUUACUCACUUCUCAUUUGGGGAGUAGGGAGUCUAGUUUAGGUUUCUUCCUUUCAGGAAGCUGAUAGGCCGCAAAAUCUCUAAUAACCUUCCAAAAGCCAGUUUGGAGCUCUUACAAUACCUAUGUUAAAUUCCUCCAAGCCUCAGGGAGCAUAGGCACCGACUCCAUUAUAUAUACUCCACAGCUGUUUGGGUGGCAGCCACCGGAUCAGUUGGGGGAGGCGUUUGGGGGAGGGUGGAGAGCAGCAGACGGGUGGGGCCUCAGGGAGGCGUGGAACAGGGCAGGAAGAGGUAGAGCGAGGGCAGAGCCUUGGGGCAGGACAGUGGAGCACCCCUGGGGGUGGCGGGGGGGAAACUCAGUGCCUAUGUCAAGGAGUAUAAACUGACAUGAGGUUUCCCUUUUUGGAGCUGUGACACUCCUAUGAAGAAGAGCUAGUGUAACGUCAGCUUUAGUUUUGAUUUUUACAAUUGUAAUUUAAACGUGUGUACAAAUGAAUGCAGAAAAGUGUUAUUUUUAUCCAA